CGCGUAGGCGGAUUAUUAAGUUAGAGGUGAAAUCCCAGGGCUCAACCCUGGAACUGCCUUUAAUACUGGUAGUCUAGAGUUCGAGAGAGGUGAGUGGAAUUCCGAGUGUAGAGGUGAAAUUCGUAGAUAUUCGGAGGAACACCAGUGGCGAAGGCGGCUCACUGGCUCGAUACUGACGCUGAGGUGCGAAAGCGUGGGGAGCAAACA
rnacentral:rRNA from 1 species